rnacentral:rRNA from 1 species
UACAGAGGUCUCAAGCGUUGUUCGGAUUCAUUGGGCGUAAAGGGUGCGUAGGCGGCGCGGUAAGUCGGGUGUGAAAUCUCGGGGCUUAACUCCGAAACUGCAUUCGAUACUGCCGUGCUUGAGGACUGGAGAGGAGACUGGAAUUUACGGUGUAGCGGUGAAAUGCGUAGAUAUCGUAAGGAAGACCAGUGGCGAAGGCGGGUCUUUGGACAGUUCCUGACGCUGAGGCACGAAGGCCAGGGGAGCAAACGGG